rnacentral:tRNA from 1 species
GAGGAUAUAGUUUAGUGGUAGAGUGCAUGCUUAGCAUGCACAAGGUCCUGGGUUCAAUCCCCAGUACCUUCA